rnacentral:lncRNA from 1 species
UGGAUCAUUUCUACAGGGGCGCCCAGCUCCGUGAUGGUGGUCAGGGUGUCUGGGAUGUCCUCGCUGUCCUGGUAGCAGUAGCCAUAGAGCUGGGGAAAGCCGAGGGCAGGUCAUUAGGUCACAGGGUGGGGGUGGGGACAGGGAAGGGCUGGACUGUCAGGUUCCCCCUCUCUCUCCUCCCACCAUCCCCAGGCCUUUGCUUCAGCUCAGGCCAGAAGAGAAUGGCAGCGUUGCCUGGGAAGCAUGCCCUCUCUUCCCUGCAGUCAGACUUCCUACUGACCAUGUCAGCCCCUCACCCCUUCCGACUCAGGUAAAUAGGCAGGUCUGGCCACUGUGAGUUAACCACGUGCCAGGUACCAUGCUAAAUUGCUCUACGUGCAUAACUCAAUUAUUGUAAUAACCCUAAUGGGCACAGUAGGUGCUAUUAUUAUCUCCAACUUCAGGUGAGGAGGCUGACUCAGAGAGGUUAAGUUGCUUGCAUAAGGUCGCACAGCUGAUCAAUGUAGGAGCCUAAGAUGUGAAUUUGUGCCACUCGGAUUCCACAACCUAUUUUUAUUUAUUUUUCUUUUCUUUUCUUUUUUUUUUUUUGAGACAGCCUCGCUCUGUUGCCCAGGCUGGAGUGCAGUGGCAUGAUCUCAGCUCACUCUGCUUCCUGGGUGCGGGCGAUUCUCCUGCCUCAGCCUCCCGAGUAGCUGGGAUUACAGGCGCUUGCCACUAUGCCCAGCUAAUUUUUGUCUUUUUAGUAGAAACAGGGUUUCACCAUGUUGGCCAGGCUGGUCUCAAACUGCCGACCUCAAGUGAUCUGCCUACCUUGGCCUCCCAAAAUGUUGGGAUUACAGGCGUGAGCCACUGCGCCCGGCCACAAUCUGUUUUUUCUAAGAAUGCUGUUUGGUAAUACACAAGCGAGCAUACGGUUGGACAUUAUCCUUCCUCCCCUCCUUGAAUCUGUAUCUAUCCCUCAUCAUUUCUACCUUCUGGCAGCUUCAAUUUUCUCUGCGUGGGUCUUGAGGGAGGAAAAGCAAGUUCCCUUAGACUGGUAACAAGUGUUGAUAAGAACAAGGUACCUGAGGGCACAUCCCCAGGUGUGUUUUGCAUAUGAGUGAUGUGUAUCAGUGGGGGUGGUAGUGAGUGAUGAUUCCUCCUGGAAGAUCAGUUCUUUUGGGGUUACGGUCACAGGGAACUGCCCACUCUAUGUCAUCUGGGGAGAAGCUCCGCACUGCCCAGGGACUUCUGGGAAGCAAAGCCUGAGUGUCACUACCACCUUAACAGCACCCACAGGCAUCCCCCUGGCUCUUCCAACAUACUCCACAGCAGCUAGGGGCUCGUAUGGUGCUCAAAACAACCAGCACCCUGUGGGGUAGAAACACGAAGGCUGAGUUGUCCAGGCCCGACUCAGGGAGAGGAGAGCUAUGCGGUGGAGGGGUGGAUAUCCCUGUGCACUGUCACCCUCAUACCAUCAUUCACACCCUCCCCAGAGCCACUCCAGGUCCUCACAUGUCCUCUUCCCGCCCUAGGAGUGCCCCCUCAGCUCCCCGUCAUCCUGCUGGCAUGGGGGAAGGCCUCACUCUUGGGCUGUGACUUGGGGGGCCAGGGCAGCUCCAGGCACCCUCUUCUCUCUCCACCCCCUCCCCAUCAGUCCAGGGAAGCCCCAGACCCUGGUGGGGUGGGGGGAAGGUAAGGGGAACAGCCCUGGGGCCUGGUUCUCAUUUUCUUGCCCAGAGUCUGAGCCUUUGUGGGAAACUUCUGAAGGUUAUUAAACACCCGGAGGUCGUUAAAUGCGCUGUUAACGAGGUAUUAAUCAACACCCCUCAGGAAAAAAUAAAAAGACACCAUUAACCCCCCCCAGGAAGCGUGAGGCUGAGCAUUUCAGUCACAUCUUUUGUUUGGUUGGGAGAAGAAAUAUACUCUAGCAGGGCCAGAAUCUGGGCCCAGGCAGGCCUGGGGGCCCAUCCAAGGCCUGGGGGCCCCAGGAUGACUGGGGGAGGGGGAGGUGGGGAGAGGUUGAGGGGAGGGGAGACCCUUGUGCCCUUUGGCCCUGGGCUAUAGAGGAGUCAAGUCACGUGAGGGAGUGUGUAUGCGUGUGUCAGGGGCGGGAUGGGGAGGGGUCAAAGAAAAUGGAUAGAAAGAUCUCGCCCAGGCAAUCCCCAUGACCAGAGAAAGCCCUGGGAGGUGCAGAAUGGGGCCUGCUAGCCUGGGCAUUUUCUAUUAGAAUCCACAGCACCAAUUCUGGGCUGCUCAGAGAGGGAGGGUGGUGAGCCUGCACCACUAGGAACUCUAGAAAUGUUCUCUAACUCCUCCCCAGUUCAGCAAACAGUCAAAUGGUUUUGAAAUUUUAAAUAACUCAGAGGUAUUAAAGCAGCAUUAUUUCUAGUUCCCUGUACACCUGCCCUGAAGCCUCCUGGGCAGGAAGACCCCACUGUAGGCUUCCCUGCCAGCAAAGAUGGCCGUGUUUAGGAGGCCAGAGCGACACUGGCCUGAUGGUCAGAAGAUGAAUGGGGGAGAGCCACCAUCAAAGCAGUCCCUAAACUCACACUAAAGGGCCCCCCACUUUUCACUUUUCCUGGGUAGAAAGGACCUGUGACCCUCUCUCCCUUAGCAACCCUUGUGCCCUGGGGCCACUAACUCUCGUCUGGGACUCUACAAUAAAGAGUCACACAGCUAACCCCAGACAACCCUGGUCUUGGUUUGGUGAGGGAAGGGUGAAAACUAUUCUGUUGUAAUUUUUUCUUUGGUGCCUUCAGAAUUGGGCUGGGGGCCUGACAUUUCAGAGGAGGACCGUCACGUGAUAUAUAUGUGGGGCGUUAGCUGAAUGCUUGUCAGGAAGUUUGAGCUGGCGGGAAGAGUGAGGGACAAGUUUCUUAAAAGAUAGGAAAGCACAUCAAACAUCAAACCCGUCUGAAGGGAGAGGGGUCUUGAGUCAAGUAACUAAGACUUUAUGUCCUGCUAAGUCACUCAAGACCUCUCCACUCCCUCAGGAUCUGGCUGACACCCUAGAGUUUCCAAAAAGUUCCCAAAAGUCCCUGGGAAGGAAAGAGUACAAGAUCCUCCCAGUUAGAAUGGCCACGUAACCAGGGGCUCACUCCCUGAAGCUGCAGACACGGUGUGAGCUGUGCAGCCAGGCUUCACUACACGCAAGUGUUGGUUCUGCCCGAGCUCCUGAGACCAGUUUGGGGCCCAGGGCCCGGUCACAAGUGUCUGACCAGGGUUGGGGAAUACGAUGGGGGAGGGGGAGACUGGGAGCCAACAGGAGUAUAAACAACUUUUGGGCCAGUCUCUCCUGCUCUACGACGCCCACCCAUCUCCCUCCAGGGCUGGGGUGCCAUCUCACUCCUAAGGAAAGGAGAGAGGGACUCCUGGGUUUCCAGUCAUUUCUGCUGGGUGCAGAAAGGUUAGUUUGAGUGGGCUGGUAGGUGGAAGGUGUGUGCAAGAUUUCAUCCGUUGGGGAGGCUGCACACACCCAUGUUCACCGGGCCAACAGCGGUCAGGGAUUCCCCUCUGUUUGCUCAGACAUGUGCAAAGGGAAUAGUCUGUCUAAUCUUAGGAUGGGGGGAGACCUGAGAGAGAGGACGUGGAGUGUUAGGGCGGUGCUGGGACUGUGAGAGGCCCACUCAAAGUCUAGCUUGGAGGGGACAAGGUGGGGGUUUCAGCUCUCGCCUGUGUCUCCAGUGAACAGGCGAGGCAGAGUCCCGUUGAGUAGGAACCUGAGCAUUUGGCCUUCUCAACCUUCCAGCCUCUUGGCUAUCUAUAUACACUCAGACAGUGUGACAUUUAGAUCCUCAGGCCGCCAGUCUGUCCACUGAGCUGAGACCUUCAGGCUUCUCCAGGGGCUCAAGGACCCACUUUAAGGCCUGGGGAACCCUUAGUUCACUUCUGGGAAGGACUGUGUUCCCUUUUUCUAGCCUGCUCCCCAGCCCCCUUCCAGUGUCUUCUGGGUGGCGCUGGAGGUGGGUGGGUGGGGAGACUCUAUAGGAAUCAAGCCUGACACAUGGUCUCUUUCCAGCUCUUCCCAGCCCCACUGCUGUCCCGUCUCAUUUUCAAAACCAGACAAAUCACUGGAAGUUGGGAGAAGUUCCAUCAAGAAGGGGGACUUUAUCACACAGUUGGAAUUCUGACUCAAGUGUCUUGGCUUAGGGUCAUUUUGGCUUGGGGUAAUAUCCCUGGUGUUCAACCUCCUAACUCCAGCCCGGAGUAGAGUCCUAAAUCCUAAUGGACUGCCCCACCCCCUGAGUUUUGGGAGCCUCUGUCCUGGCCUGUCUUUAAGAGAUGUGUGGAAGCCGAGAAACCCAGGAGUUCUCCGGUAAAGGGACGCCCACCCAGGAGUGAGAAGCAGGGUGGUGCAGUGGGAAGGGCCAUGGUCCGGUUUCUGCGUCUAGCUUAGCCUGGGUGCAGUCACUGGCACUCCAGAUCAAGGGGUUCUCUUCCAGCCAGGUUGACAAGGUCUUGGGCACUCCCAGCCAACACCGUUACCCCCGCGUCCCCACCCUCGUACCUGCAGCACGUUGGGGUGCCGCAGCCGCUCCAGCAGCACCAUCUCCUUAAGCAGCUUGUGGGCCGCCAGCCGAUAGCAGCCCCUCCGUACCCCGAACUCGCGCACGCAGCUGCCCAGAUCGUGGCCGCUAAAGUCCACCGCCUUGAGCGCCACCGCGGCACCGCCGGGCAGGCGGACCCGGUACACGGCCUUGGUGUAGCCUGAGCCCAUGUACUGCGCGCCGGACACGUUGCGAAGCGCGGCGCAGCCCAGGCGCGGGCCCGGCCCGCGCGCAUGGCCCCGGCGG